AAGCAAAGGAGGAAAAAUUCAUCGCCGUAAUAACGAAAAUGAUAAACCUCAGCUGUCUUACAGAAGAAUGUCAGAGUUAGACAUUCUGCCAUUUUACCAGGAAAUCUUUACAAACAUGUAGAAAAAUGUGACUGAUAUCUCUUCCCCUGCGGAUGGAGCAACAAACCGUUUGUGAUGAGAGGGUUCCAUUCCUGAACACGGCUGAUAUUAAGUUGUGAAUUGCCUGCCCAGGUAGUAUUCCUAGCCAUUGUUGUCUUGCUCGAAUGACCUGCAUUUUGUGGAAGCUGAGCUAUUUGGGGGUCAGCAUUACUUGCAAGCUUGGUGUAAACUGGCCAUUUUAAUUGCCUCUCUAGACGGUCUCCAGUUGAUACAUUCUUGGCCUGAGAAUUAUUGAAGCUAUUCCAGUGGAGGCAUUCAGUCAUUCUAUACCAGUGGCACAUACGUCAUUUUCACCUGUUGGGACUUUUCCUUAGGAAACCAGUGUGCCUAAUUCCAGAAAGCA
rnacentral:lncRNA from 1 species